rfam:Schistosoma rodhaini strain Burundi genome assembly, scaffold: SROB_scaffold0006145
AUCCAGCUAACGAGUCCCAAAUAGGAUUUGACGCGCGUCCUGGAU